GCUCCAAAUCAUAAAGGAGGGAAAACACAAAGGCAAGAAGUGAGGCAUCCCAAGAGGGAGCCUCUUACUCUUUGAGUCCUCCAUAAUAAGAAAGUGGAGGAGGGUCCAGCUGGGCAAUGCAUUAGUAAAUCAACCUAAACACUGUCUGUGUGUCUCACAGCUCUCACUGCUGGACCAGCAAAGUCACGACGCUCUGCUCUGCGUCAUAUCACAGUCUGAUUUAUAUCAGCGCUGAGGUGUUAGCACUCCAGUAAAUUUCCUUCAUUAUUGGGAAAUGCUGAAAAAAUGAAACACACGUGCAUGCUCAAUAAACUGAACAGCUGAUGUAACCCGAUGGAGAGCAACAUCUGCUGGCCUGAGGAGGUCUCACAGGUGCUUAAGAACGCGUGGCUUUUUAAUGGAUGUCGACUGUAAUCCUGCGUGUGUGACAUAUUGAUGAUUCUACAUCUGAUGGUGAUAACCCAGCAUCAGCAGUUAUCCUUUUGCUGGUUUCUUCCUCUUAACCUUUCCAUCCCUCUUGCACUGUCAGCUGAUGGAGUGAUUCAAAGUAUGGAGUGGAGAGAAAAUUCCCUGCGCCCUUGAAUGUAUA